rnacentral:rRNA from 1 species
GAGCAAACAGGAUUAGAUACCCUGGUAGUCCACGCCGUAAACGAUGUCGACUUGGAGGUUGUGCCCUUGAGGCGUGGCUUCCGGAGCUAACGCGUUAAGUCGACCGCCUGGGGAGUACGGCCGCAAGGUUAAAACUCAAAUGAAUUGACGGGGGCCCGCACAAGCGGUGGAGCAUGUGGUUUAAUUCGAUGCAACGCGAAGAACCUUACCUGGUCUUGACAUCCACGGAAGUUUUCAGAGAUGAGAAUGUGCCUUCGGGAACCGUGAGACAGGUGCUGCAUGGCUGUCGUCAGCUCGUGUUGUGAAAUGUUGGGUUAAGUCCCGCAACGAGCGCAACCCUUAUCCUUUGUUGCCAGCGGUCCGGCCGGGAACUCAAAGGAGACUGCCAGUGAUAAACUGGAGGAAGGUGGGGAUGACGUCAAGUCAUCAUGGCCCUUACGACCAGGGCUACACACGUGCUACAAUGGCGCAUACAAAGAGAAGCGACCUCGCGAGAGCAAGCGGACCUCAUAAAGUGCGUCGUAGUCCGGAUUGGAGUCUGCAACUCGACUCCAUGAAGUCGGAAUCGCUAGUAAUCGUGGAUCAGAAUGCCACGGUGAAUACGUUCCCGGGCCUUGUACACACCGCCCGUCACACCAUGGGAGUGGGUUGCAAAAGAAGUAGGUAGCUUAACCUUCGGGAGGGCGCUUACCACUUUGUGAUUCAUGACUGGGUGAUCACAAAAGGGGAAACACACAA